UACGAAGGGGGCGAGCGUUGUUCGGAAUUACUGGGCUUAAAGCGUGCGUAGGCGGAAAUGCAAGUCAGAAGUGAAAUCCCGGGGCUUAACCCCGGAAUUGCUUUUGAAACUGCGUUUCUAGAAUCCGGUAGAGGUUAAUGGAAUGUCCAGUGUAGAGGUGAAAUUCGCAGAUAUUGGACGGAACACCAGUGGCGAAGGCGAUUAACUGGGCCGGUAUUGACGCUGAGGUACGAAAGCGUGGGGAGCAAACAGG
rnacentral:rRNA from 1 species